rnacentral:rRNA from 1 species
AACGACUCUCGGCAACGGAUAUCUCGGCUCUCGCAUCGAUGAAGAACGUAGCGAAAUGCGAUACUUGGUGUGAAUUGCAGAAUCCCGUGGACCAUCGAGUCUUUGAACGCAAGUUGCGCCCGAAGCCAUUAGGCCGAGGGCACGCCUGCCUGGG